CGCGUCACAAUAGUAAUUCAACCUAGUACGAGAGGAACCGUUGAUUCACACAAUUGGUCAUCGCGCUUGGUUGAAAAGCCAGUGACACGAAGCUACCGUGCGCUGGAUUAUGACUGAAUGCCUCUAAGUCAGAAUCCGGGCUAGAAGCGAUGCAUGCGCCCGCUGCCCGAUUGCCAACCCUCACUAGGAGCUUUGGCUCCAAAAGGCACGUGUCGUUGGCUAAGUCCGUUCGGCGGAUCGCCUCACUAGUAUUACCACCGAGCGGCAGGAAGAAUCCUUUGCAGAAGACUUAAAUACGCGACGCGGUAUUGUAAGUCCAGAGUGGCCUUGCUGCCAUGAUCCACUGAGAUUCAGUCCUUUGUCACUAAGAUUC
rnacentral:ncRNA from 2 species